rnacentral:rRNA from 1 species
UACAGAGGUCCCAAGCGUUGUUCGGAUUCAUUGGGCGUAAAGGGUGCGUAGGCGGCGCGGUAAGUCGGGUGUGAAAUCUCGGAGCUUAACUCCGAAACUGCAUUCGAUACUGCCGUGCUUGAGGACUGGAGAGGAGACUGGAAUUUACGGUGUAGCGGUGAAAUGCGUAGAUAUCGUAAGGAAGACCAGUGGCGAAGGCGGGUCUCUGGACAGUUCCCUGACGCUG